GCAAGUCGAGCGCACUCUUCGGAGUGAGCGGCGGACGGGUUAGUAACGCGGGGGAAUAUACCCGGUACUAAGGAAUAGCCACUGGAGACGGUGAGUCAUACCUUAUACGCCCUACGUGGGAAAGAUUUAUCGGUAUCGGAUUAGCCCGCGUUAGAUUAGAUAGUUGGUGGGGUAGUGGCCUACCAAGUCUACGAUCUAUAGCUGGUUUGAGAGGAUGAUC
rnacentral:rRNA from 1 species